rnacentral:rRNA from 1 species
AUUGAACGCUGGCGGCAGGCCUAACACAUGCAAGUCGAGCGGUAGCACAGAGAGCUUGCUCUCGGGUGACGAGCGGCGGACGGGUGAGUAAUGUCUGGGAAACUGCCUGAUGGAGGGGGAUAACUACUGGAAACGGUAGCUAAUACCGCAUAACGUCGCAAGACCAAAGUGGGGGACCUUCGGGCCUCAUGCCAUCAGAUGUGCCCAGAUGGGAUUAGCUAGUAGGUGGGGUAAUGGCUCACCUAGGCGACGAUCCCUAGCUGGUCUGAGAGGAUGACCAGCCACACUGGAACUGAGACACGGUCCAGACUCCUACGGGAGGCAGCAGUGGGGAAUAUUGCACAAUGGGCGCAAGCCUGAUGCAGCCAUGCCGCGUGUGUGAAGAAGGCCUUCGGGUUGUAAAGCACUUUCAGCGGGGAGGAAGGCGUUAAGGUUAAUAACCUUGGCGAUUGACGUUACCCGCAGAAGAAGCACCGGCUAACUCCGUGCCAGCAGCCGCGGUAAUACGGAGGGUGCAAGCGUUAAUCGGAAUUACUGGGCGUAAAGCGCACGCAGGCGGUCUGUCAAGUCGGAUGUGAAAUCCCCGGGCUCAACCUGGGAACUGCAUUCGAAACUGGCAGGCUAGAGUCUUGUAGAGGGGGGUAGAAUUCCAGGUGUAGCGGUGAAAUGCGUAGAGAUCUGGAGGAAUACCGGUGGCGAAGGCGGCCCCCUGGACAAAGACUGGCGCUCAGGUGCGAAAGCGUGGGGAGCAAACAGGAUUAGAUACCCUGGUAGUCCACGCCGUAAACGAUGUCGAUUUGGAGGUUGUGCCCUUGAGGCGUGGCUUCCGGAGCUAACGCGUUAAAUCGACCGCCUGGGGAGUACGGCCGCAAGGUUAAAACUCAAAUGAAUUGACGGGGGCCCGCACAAGCGGUGGAGCAUGUGGUUUAAUUCGAUGCAACGCGAAGAACCUUACCUGGUCUUGACAUCCACAGAACUUUCCAGAGAUGGAUUGGUGCCUUCGGGAACUGUGAGACAGGUGCUGCAUGGCUGUCGUCAGCUCGUGUUGUGAAAUGUUGGGUUAAGUCCCGCAACGAGCGCAACCCUUAUCCUUUGUUGCCAGCGGUUAGGCCGGGAACUCAAAGGAGACUGCCAGUGAUAAACUGGAGGAAGGUGGGGAUGACGUCAAGUCAUCAUGGCCCUUACGACCAGGGCUACACACGUGCUACAAUGGCAUAUACAAAGAGAAGCGACCUCGCGAGAGCAAGCGGACCUCAUAAAGUAUGUCGUAGUCCGGAUUGGAGUCUGCAACUCGACUCCAUGAAGUCGGAAUCGCUAGUAAUCGUAGAUCAGAAUGCUACGGUGAAUACGUUCCCGGGCCUUGUACACACCGCCCGUCACACCAUGGGAGUGGGUUGCAAAAGAAGUAGGUAGCUUAACCUUCGGGAGGGCGCUUACCACUUUGUGAUUCAUGACUGGGGUGA